GUCUGUUUGAAGGUAUAAGGAGUCUGAUCUGCCCACUGAAAUAUUUAAGGGCCGCGGUAAUCUGACCGUGCAAAGGUAGCAUAAUCGUUAGUUUUUUAAUUGAAAUCUUGUAUGAAUGAUUGGACAAGGGGGGUACUGUCUCUGUGUUUAUUUUUGAAUUUAACUUUUAAGUGAAAAGGCUUAAAUGAUUUAAAAAGACGAUAAGACCCUAUAAAGCUUAAUAAGUUAAAUUAGUUGACUGAAUUAAUAAAUAAUAGUUAAUUAAUUAAUCAUAUUUUGUUGGGGCGACAAUGGUAAAAUGUUUAUCAACUACUAAAUUUUUAUGACAAAUAUUGGUGAAUACAUCAGUAUUAAAUGAUCCUAGGAUAAGAUUUAAAGAUGAAGUUACUUUAGGGAUAACAGCGUUAUUUUUUUUGAGAGUUCUUAUCGAAAAAAAAGUUUGCGACCUCGAUGUUGAAUUAAAAUGUCUAUUCAAUUGCAGAAGUUGAAAUAGUAGGUCUGUUCGACCUUUAAAAUUUU
rnacentral:rRNA from 1 species